GCCGGAGUGGCGGAAUAGGCAGACGCACGGGACUUAAAAUCCCGGGACCUUAAAAUCGUACCGGUUCAAGUCCGGUCUUCGGCACCA
rnacentral:tRNA from 1 species